AUUGAACGCUGGCGGCAUGCCUUACACAUGCAAGUCGAACGGCAGCACGGGUGCUUGCACCUGGUGGCGAGUGGCGAACGGGUGAGUAAUACAUCGGAACAUGUCCUGUAGUGGGGGAUAGCCCGGCGAAAGCCGGAUUAAUACCGCAUACGAUCCACGGAUGAAAGCGGGGGACCUUCGGGCCUCGCGCUAUAGGGUUGGCCGAUGGCUGAUUAGCUAGUUGGUGGGGUAAAGGCCUAGCAAGGCGACGAUCAGUAGCUGGUCUGAGAGGACGACCAGCCACACUGGGACUGGGACACGGACCAGACUCCUACGGGAGGCAGCAGUGGGGAAUGUUGGACAAUGGGCGAAAGCCUGACCCAGCAAUGCCGCGUGUGUGAAGAAGGCCUUCGGGUUGUAAAGCACUUUUGACCGGAAAGAAAUCCUUGACUCUAAUACAGUCGGGGGAUGACGGUACCGGAAGAAUAAGCACCGGCUAACUACGUG
rnacentral:rRNA from 1 species